rnacentral:sRNA from 1 species
UUUGCAGAGGAGGACGCAGGGGGGGCCAGCCAGGUAUAAUAAAUAUAAUGUUAUAGUUAGCAUUUAAUUCAAGUUCACUCUUGUGUGUUUUUUAACUUUUGGUUUUGGCUUUGGUUUUGGUUUUCUUUCUUUCUUGUGGUUAGUAAAUUAUAAGAUAGUUAUAGCAAGUAAAUAAUCGAGGUAUGUAGUUUAACUAGUUAGCUGCAGAUAGAUGUCCAGUGUCCACCAGAGUCCACCAGAGUCAAGAGUCCAGAGAGAAGCAGGCGCAUGGAUUGCAUUCUCAAGCGAGCUCGUGCUCGUUUUCCCUUCCUAGUAGCGG